rnacentral:rRNA from 1 species
CCUACGGGAGGCAGCAGUGAGGAAUAUUGGUCAAUGGCCGUAAGGCUGAACCAGCCAAGUAGCGUGAGGGAAGACUGCCCUAUGGGUUGUAAACCUCUUUUAUGCGGGGAUAAAGGUGUCCACGUGUGGAUGUUUGCAGGUACCGCAUGAAUAAGGACCGGCUAAUUCCGUGCCAGCAGCCGCGGUAAUACGGAGGGUCCGGGCGUUAUCCGGAUUUAUUGGGUUUAAAGGGAGCGUAGAGCGGUUAGUAAGCGUGCCGUGAAAGUUUGUGGCUCAACCGUGAGAUUGCGGUAGGUACUGGCAGCCGUGAGUACAGGUGAGGGAGGGGGAAUUCGUGGUGUAGCGGUGAAAUGCGUAGAUAUCACGAAGAA